UCCUCCUGGGGUACCUCUGCCGGGGCCUCUGCCGGGUUACUCUGAGGUCCGACGUCCCCUGAAGCGUCUGUGCUCUUGUCUUCGUGCUCGCUCGACUCUGAGGUGACAACAAGAUGUAAUUACUUUGGAGAGACUCGAUUGAAGGAUGUCUGUUGCCGCUCCUGUUGCUAAGCAACCGCCUUCGAGGAAGCCGUUGCUACGACUUUGAGCCGCGAAUCAGGACCGACGUGACAAAGCCGAGUCGACCUCAGCCUCUGCGGACGUUGUCGGGC